CCAAGCUGAAUUUUGACGUAAUUUCUCUUGAUGUAGCUAGCAGGUGGCAGAGGCGUAUUUGAAAGUCAACAACAUUCUGACAGCGAUUAGAAUGUCCUCCGUCUGCUAGUCUUCUUGAUUCUUAAAUUCUGUGGAGCUCAAAUAGACAAUAAAGCUUUGUGGAACUGAUUAAGUGUUAGCAUAAAUAUCUAGCCUUUGUCAUAUUGAGUCUCCUCAAUAAAUAUUACUCCCUAUUUUUUUAUAUUUUCGUUUUAUAAAGCAGAAAUGAAAUAUUUAUUUUAUUUUUAUGCCACCACAGUAAAUGUACUUAUGGGUUUUACGCCACUCAUAUCCUCACAUGGGCAUUACUGUUUUUCAUAUUUUUAUUUUCUUUUUAGGAUAGUACGAACUUAAUUAACUAAGUAGACUAUUUGAAAUAAUUGAAAGGGAAAUGAUAACUACCAAGUUUACCUCUUGGCAAGGCGUUCGGUAUUUUUAAGUCCUCCGAACGGGACUCUCCGUUUUCUCAAUUGUCCUGAGGUUCGUUGGGUGGCGUAGUCGGUACUUCCGGCGGCGCCUCCUCUUCAUGUAUAGUUAUCUUCUCUUUCCACACCUGACUCGGUGCUACGGUCUCCUCUGGAUAAUUCUGUUUAAACUCUACGUCUUCUGAUCUUACAACUUCUCCUUCAUAGUCUGCCCAUCCGUCCUUGAUGAUUUGCCUCCUCUGGUUGCGAUUGCGUCGUUUUCUGACCUGCUUAGAUUCUUCAACGAUAUAGUUAGGGUCAGUAAAAUAGCGGCGUACCUUCUCUGAGGGGAAGUGCAUAUGGACUUGUUGGUGUUUCCCCCCCGGGGGGUCACACCAACGAGUAAAUUUGUAUGCGUGCUCCCUUUUCCAGAUGGUGAUGCAAAAAGACACAAAGAUUUAUCCUGGUUCGGGCAAGAGAAGGCCCUACGUCCAGCGGGGGGGAGAGUUUGUAUUAGUCUGCACCUAAGUGCUUGUACAGGGGUGAAUACAAGUGUAGGAUGGAUGGAGAUGGAGUAUGGAAGCUACACUGGGCGGGAGUGUUGUAUCGUGUGUAUUCGCUCCCGGGCCUCUCCUUUUAUAGUUCCAAGGAGAGACCUAGGGUACAUGUAUAGGCGUCAGAGUAGGGGUCGAUAGAGGUACGGCGCGCUGACCUACUCGAGGCCUCCGUACCGGCGUGGCCUCGAGCCAUCCCAUCUUGGUGCCUUGAUCAUGAUUACGCGUGCACCUGAAACCCGCUCCUGCGUGCCGUCCUGGACUGACUUGGCUGUUGCAUGCCCGUACGUCGCGGCGGCAGAUAUGUCGGAGUGGUUGUUGUGU
rnacentral:lncRNA from 1 species